rnacentral:misc_RNA from 1 species
AAGGAUCAUUAACUAGUAUUGAAGUCCACGGGGAUCAGGCUUUCCGAAAGGAGGGUGGGGGGAUGUUUGGUUCCCCCUGCUUGAGCAGACUGGAGAGCAUGGUGUAACUACCGUCAUAUGGUAGCUAGAUUAUGUUUGGCCUCUGCUGAUCGAGCUUGUCACCUGAAUUCUACUACCCUUGCUUUUUGCGCACCCAUUGUUUCCUCGGCAGGCUUGCCUGCCAGUAGGACCCCUUGAAAACCCUUUGUAAUUGCAAUCAGCGUCAGAAACAACGUAAUCGUUACAACUUUCAACAACGGAUCUCUUGGUUCUG